rnacentral:tRNA from 1 species
AGCCCCGUGGUGGAGAACACGCCGGAUUGCAAAUCCAGAGACGCAGAGUAACGCCCUGCCGGGGCUU